GGAAAGGGAGAUUAAUACAAGAUGUUAUCAUGAGUAAGCAUUUUCACAUGAUUAAAGGUUUACCCGGUGUAAGAUGGGGAUGCGUUCCAUUAGAUAGUAGGCGGGGUAACGGCCCACCUAGUCUUCGAUGGAUAGGGGUUCUGAGAGGAAGGUCCCCCCACAUUGGAACUGAGACACGGUCCAAACUCCUACGGGAGGCAGCAGUGAGGAAUAUUGGUCAAUGGGCGCGAGCCUGAACCAGCCAAGUAGCGUGGAGGACGACGGCCCUACGGGUUGUAAACUCCUUUUAUAAGGGGAUAAAGUUGGCCAUGUAUGGCCAUUUGCAGGUACCUUAUGAAUAAGCAUCGGCUAAUUCCGUG
rnacentral:rRNA from 1 species